CCUGGCGUCCAUCCCGCGAAGAUCUUCGCAAUUAGAGGUAUACAUUCAAGCAAGUUUCUGUUAACAAUGUUUAAACACAAAUUUUGUCAGGAUUUAUUUUAAAUUUGAGAAUAUUUAAAACUGCGGAUUGACUAUACAUCCUUAUAUGUAAUUAAGCCAGCUUUCCCUCCAUUUCAUUAAACUGCAUUUUUUAAUGUGGACAAACAAAAAAUUUUAAAUAAUAAAAGUACGGUAAUGAAUUAGAAAAGUAAAAAUCAGUUGAAGAAAAUGUCUUUAUAAUAGUAUAGAAAUUCUCUUCCCAAAUUCUUUUCUGGAAAAAAAUAUUUACCCUAUUUAGUAUUUAUCUAUAUAUCAAUUUUGCAGGUUCCACAACAGAUGGGAAGAAGCAGUUGGAGAAAUUGGCAGAGGAUUACAUUUCAGAAAAGAACCAAGAACAAAAAGGAGAAGGUGAAACUCAUGAGGAAAUGAAUAAUGAUGUAGUUGUUACAACAGACAAUCCUGCUACCAUAAAAGGAUGAAAAAGUAUUGCGAAAAGGGCAAGGAGCCAGGAGAACAAAGAAAACAAAGCAGAAAAAGAAAAAAAGAGGGAAGAGAAGAAGAGGAAAAGAGAGAUUGGCUUGAAGAAGAAUGCAGAUUUUCUACAAUCGCUACACAUCUUUAAGCAUCAGACCUCUUCCACGAACCAACUGGAUCAGUCAACUGAACCUCCCUACGAGUCUCGGUUCCCUCCUUCACAACAUCACACUUACCAACCAGAUCCAUCUCUGAAUCAGACAUUCCAUCCAUUUCGACCGUAUUUAGAUGCACAGCAGCAACACCAGUUACUGUCUUUAGAUGGUCAGCUUGUUGAACAUCGGAGUCAAAACCCUACCCAUCAACACUUGGUAAACUCACCGCAGCAUUUUGAUAUGAACCAUUGCUACCCACAGCUGCAUUAUGAUAUGAACCAGAGCACCUCCCAU